UCCGUUGUAGUCUCGGCUCUCACCCGAGAGACCCGGGUUCGAGUCCCAGCAACGGAA
rnacentral:tRNA from 1 species